rnacentral:lncRNA from 1 species
UGUCAGCCUCACGCAAAGCCGCGCUUGGAGAAAAAAAAGGCAACGACGUCGAUCUCGUCAGAGACAGCCGGCGGACCACCGUAUUCUGCCGCGAGGGCGAUUGCCCGAAAAGGGCGAUUGGCCAAAAAGGGCGGCAAAGUGGUCGCGGGCAAGCACAGACGGCGCACCGAGACGGUGCCCUCAGUCGUGAGCCUGGCGCGGUAGUGCUUGGCCUACUGCCCUUUCCCCUUUUUUUUGCAGGCGCGAGCGCAAAAUACGAGCGACGUCAACAAAGCAAAAAAAAAUAGAACCACCAAACCGGGACAUCCAUGGGUUUAUUUACAUUUUUUGAACGAUUUUUUGCUUGUUUUUAAUCGCCCGACGAGAGAUCGCACACGCGCGCGCGCACGCGUCCACGACGAAACACACCAAGAGCGGCCAAGAAAAAAGAUGGGCCCGACCCACAAGAUAAACAGGGCGCUGCAUUGCGCGUAAAAAGUCCGCAGACGGUUCAGGGGUCGAUCGCGGCGAUGGACAAGGAAUUGGUGGAUGAGAUGUAUUUGCGCGCCAAGGCGGGCGAGUGGGGCAAGGUGCUCGCUGCGCUGAGCGCCGACGACGACCUGGCAGAAUAGGCGGUCGUCUACAAACGACCCGGCUCGGGAUGGACCUUUGUACACCAGGCGGCCUUUUGGGGCCGCGAGGAUGCGUGCCGGGCGCUCUUCAAGCGCGGCGCGUCGCCCUCGGCCACGACCGGCGACGGGCUCUCGGCCGACGCUGUCGCACGCCGACGCGGCCACGACCAACUCGCCGCGUGGCUGGCCUCGUUUGCCGACAAGACCGGUGCGACGCGUGCAGUCGCGCAUUUGACGAGGCCAUCGAGCAGCGCGCAACAGUAGCCUUUCGCGCCCCUUAUGCGAGAGGCACGGUGCACGUGCGCGCGGGCUCGCGCUACUUUGUGGAUGCGUGCGGCUGCGUCCUCAUCGGGUGGCACGGUCGCACGAUCCCCCUUUUGGCAUGGACGGAACUGACCUCGUAUAGAAAAAGAAAAUGUCGUCGACCAACGAGCAAACCCCAUGAAAAUAGAUACGACAUAAAAGCGCCUUUGCUUUUGUGGCCGCCGACACCGCCGCACGGGAUAAAGUCUAAAAAAAAAGAAUGGCGGCCUCGACGCCCUUUCUUUGCCGCGCAUUUGAGGAACCAAAAAAAAUGAAAUGAAAAAAGGCCAAGU